rnacentral:tRNA from 1 species
UAGCUCAGAUGGUAAAGUAUCUGCCUGUAAUGCAGGAGACCCGGGUUCGAUUCCUGG